rnacentral:rRNA from 1 species
UACGGAGGAUGCAAGUGUUAUCCGGAAUCACUGGGCGUAAAGCGUCCGCAGGUGGCAGUUCAAGUCUGCUGUCAAAGACCGGGGCUUAACUUCGGAAAGGCAGUGGAAACUGAACAGCUAGAGUAUGGUAGGGGCAGAGGGAAUUCCUGGUGUAGCGGUGAAAUGCGUAGAUAUCAGGAAGAACAUCGGUGGCGAAGGCGCUCUGCUGGACCAUAACUGACACUCAGGGACGAAAGCUAGGGGAGCGAAUGGG